rnacentral:lncRNA from 1 species
UUCGCUGAACAUGCGAGUUCUUCACGGGCCAGCACUCCGCCCCAUACAACAUCGCAGGUCUAACCACGGCUCUGUAGAAUUUACCCUUGAGUUUGUGUGGAAUUUCUUGUCACACAGGACCCCUGAAGCGAGCCUCCACCUAGACCACCCCGCUCCUAUCUGAUGGGUGACGUCCCCGUAAAUCUCUCUGUCCCCCUGGAUCACAG